AAAAAUGUGGUGUAAACGGUCUCCAUGGCCUUGCCUGAGACAUCAGGCUGAACUCUGGAAUAAUUACCAUGGCUAAUGAGUAUGAUGAUAUGAUUAGAAGCCCUUCCAGAAUGACAUGGAUGUGGGUUGUGUGGGAGAAGCAAUUCCCCAAAAGAAUUUGCACAGAACCACAUUCAUAAGAUGUUGGACAAGGAAAUUCUCAGCUUCAAGGGAUCAAUGGAGAACAUCCAGAGCUUUAUACAACUUCUAAAAUGGAUCUAUUUCUAAGGAAAAAGUAAGAGAACAUCCAGAGCUUUAUACAACUUCUAAAAUGGAUCUAUUUCUAAGGAAACAGUAAGAACUGGUUUGAGCUAUUCUGUGACUAAGAAAUGGAAGAAUAUUGGAACGCCAGGGAAAGUCACUCAGGAAACAUCAAUGACUUGAGCAGAGAAGCUGUGCAAAUGGAUUGAUUUAUGAACACAUUUAUAUGUGAACGUAUAAAUUAUGGAGAUGCUCUCAAUAUUUUAUCUGCUGUUUUUAUAUAUCCAAUUUAUCAGUCCCUGAAAUGUCACCAGUUUAACUAUCAGUGGAUUUUUUUAAAAUCUCAAAUGAUGGUAAACAAAACUUAUACUUUUUUGAUCCACCAACACGCCAUAUAAAUUCUAGUGAUAAUGGUUUCAAUAAUGGGGUCAAGAAUUAGAGAUUGCUUCAAAUCCCUUGUAUACUCCUUAACUUAUUUAUAUAAUUUUGGGCAAGUUGUUCAUUCAUUCUAAGACUCAGUUUUCCACAUCUGUGAAAUGAGUAGGGGGUGAAUAACCUCUUCAUAUGGUUGUAGUGAAGAUUAAAUGAGAUGAUGCAUAAAAGCUGUGCUGAGGACAAUGAUUAGACCUUUGUAAGUUCACUGAAAUAUUAGAUCUUAACAUUAUUGUUAUAAAGGUAAAAACUGUGCUGUUAUCAUUCUCUUCUCUGUAAGUCUGCUGAAAAUAGACCAUUUUUGUUAAUCAGGGAUCUUGAAGUUCAUUGUCGAGUAACUAUUCCAUUGCAUAGUUUGGUUGAGUCUCUGGAUUUCCAG
rnacentral:lncRNA from 1 species